rnacentral:lncRNA from 10 species
CCAGGUUCCCGCCAUUCUCCUGCCUCAAUCUCCUGAAUAGCUGGGACUACAGGCGCCUGCCACCACGCCCGGCUAAUUUUUUAUAUUUUUUCUAGGCCCUUUAUCAUCUUGAAUACCUUCCUCUAAUCCAUGACAAUCUCUCCUGAAACGCCAUAUUGGGAACUGAAUUGGAUCCAGCCCACGUUGUGGAGGAGCUUUCUGGUGGUGGGAUGUGGUGUGAGCUUUCUUUAGAAACCGCUUCACACCAUUGGCUACUACUUUAAAAA